GAUGAACGCUGACAGAAUGCUUAACACAUGCAAGUCGAUUCGAUUUACCUUCGGGUAUUGAGGAUGGCGGACGGGUGAGUAACGCGUAAGGAACUUGCCUCUUGGUCUGGGACAACUGUUGGAAACGACAGCUAAUACCGGAUAUUAUGAGAUUCUCGCAUGGGAAACUUAUGAAAGCUAUAUGCGCCAAGAGAGAGCCUUGCGUUCCAUUAGCUAGUUGGUGGGGUAACGGCCCACCAAGGCGACGAUGGAUAGCCGGCCUGAGAGGGUGAACGGCCACAAGGGGACUGAGACACGGCCCUUACUCCUACGGGAGGCAGCAGUGGGGAAUAUUGGACAAUGGACCAAAAGUCUGAUCCAGCAAUUCUGUGUGCACGAUGAAGGUCUUCGGAUUGUAAAGUGCUUUCAGUUGGGAAGAAGCAAGUGACGGUACCAACAGAAGAAGCGACGGCUAAAUACGUGCCAGCAGCCGCGGUAAUACGUAUGUCGCAAGCGUUAUCCGGAUUUAUUNNNCGUAAAGCGCGUCUAGGCGGAAAAAUAAGUCUGAUGUUAAAAUGCGGGGCUCAACUCCGUAUUGCGUUGGAAACUGUUUUUCUAGAGUACUGNAGA
rnacentral:rRNA from 1 species